rnacentral:lncRNA from 1 species
UUCUUUCAUUGUGGUAUCAAGCACUUACAUCUGACAGAAUACUUUAUGUAUUUACCUACUAUUUUUUUCCCACUUUGAUUCUGAUUCUUUAUAGUAAUGAGAACUUGGGCAGCUCAUUUUUUUCCUUCUAGAUUGAGUUUCCUCACUAUAAAAUUGAGAUCAAUAAAUCUAACUUCAGGGGUGUUCUAAAUAUUAACAAAGAUACUUUAUGUGAAAUCAUAAUUAUAAAUCAAAGGACCAUUCUUAUAUUCUGAUCUGAGCAGAAUUUACUGAGCUCUUUUUGUAGGCAUUGAUAUGCAGAGUUCUAAGGAUAUGCCAGCUAAAACAGGUAUGGAUCUUGCUCUUAGGCUAAUGGUGAAUACCAGCAUCAAAAUAUAAUUGCACUUAUUUCAUAGAUGGUCUGCACAUGAUUGCUGAAUUUAACUAUUUUGUUUAUUCUAUUGGUGAUUGAUUUCUUAGGUCUUCCCACUUAUUAGAAGUUGAUGUUUAGUUCUGAUUCACUGAUAUUUUCACUGUUCUUGUGGCAUCUUGGUUUUCUUUACAGGUUCCAAAACUUGAUAGAAUACCUGAAUCUUGCUGUAGAACUUCCUAAGUAUUAAAUAUGUAAAUAUUAUGCUGGCAGGCAGGAAAUUUCCAUUUCAUUCUCACAUUCAUCCAUUUAUCAAAUACUCAAUGAAACUAGGACACGCAAAAUGAUUUUAGAGAAGGAAGAGAUGGUCAGACCAAUUUGUUUAACAGGGCAAGAGAAGUAAGUUAAUCUGAAUUAGAUAAUGCCUCUGCUGUGUUUGGCCAUUAUUGCCUGCAAAUUGAUUUUAUAUAAUGAUUUUUAUUUGUUUCCAUUAUAGCUGGUUUAUAGUAUUUUGUCAAUUUUCUACUGUACAGCAUGGUGACCCAGUUACACAUACAUGUAUAUAUUCUUUUUUCUCAUAUUGUCAUGCUCCAUCAUAAGAGACUAGACAUAGUUCCCAGUGCUACACAGCAAGAUCUCAUUGCUAAUCCAAUGGCAAUUGUCCGCAUCUAUUAACCCCAAGCUCCCCAUCCAUCUCACUCCCUCCCCUUCCCCCUUGGCAACCACAAGUCUAUCCUCUAAGUCUGUGAUUUUCUUUUUUGUGGAAAGGGUCAUUUGUGCUGUAUAUUAGAUUCCAGAUGUAAGUGAUAUCAUAUGGUAUUUGUCUUUCUCCUUCUGACUUACUUCACUCAGUAUGAGAGUCUCUAGUUCCUCCCUGUUGCUGCAAAUGGCAUUAUUUUGUUCUUCUUUAAGGCUGAGUAGUAUUCCACUGUAUAUAUAUACCACAUCUUCCUAAUACAGUCAUCUGUCAAUGGACAUUUAGGUUGUUUCCAUGUCUUGGCUAUUGUGAAUAGUGCUGCAGUGAGCAUGCAUGUGCAUGUGUCGUUUUAAAGGAAAGUUUUGAGAUUGACCGUACUUUUAAAAAGUAAUUUCUUCUGCAGUUCCCUAGUGGCUCAGUGGUUAAUGAACCUGACUAGGACCCAUGGGGAUGUGGGUUCAAUCCCUGGCCUCGCUCAGUGGGUUAAGGAUCCGGCGUUGCUGUGAGCUGUGGUGUAGGUCGCAGAUGUGGCUCCGAUCCCUUGUUGCUGUGCCUGUGGUGUAGGUUGGUGGCUGCAGCUCCGAUUUGACC